rnacentral:rRNA from 1 species
AGCGAACGCUGGCGGCAGGCUUAACACAUGCAAGUCGAGCGGGCAUCCUUGUGGUGUCAGCGGCUGACGGGUGAGUAACGCGUGGGAACGUGCCCUUCGGUUCGGAACAACUCAGGGAAACUUGAGCUAAUACCGGAUACGUGCGAGAGCAGAAAGGUUUAUCUGCCGAAGGAUCGGCCCGCGUCUGAUUAGCUAGUUGGUGAGGUUAUGGCUCACCAAGGCGACGAUCAGUAGCUGGUCUGAGAGGAUGAUCAGCCACACUGGGACUGAGACACGGCCCAGACUCCUACGGGAGGCAGCAGUGGGGGAUAUUGGACAAUGGGGGCAAUCCUGAUCCAGCCAUGCCGCGUGAGUGAUGACGGCAUUAGGGUUGUAAAGCUCUUUUCUUCGGGACGAUAAUGACGGUACCGGAGGAAUAAGCCCCGGCUAACUUCGUG